UCUCAUUCCCCUAACCAAAAUUGACCAUUCUUCAACUGCACCCUUCCUGCUCCUCCCUCUCUGGUGGUGCUGCUUUUAUAUAUUGUUCAAGGAAGAAAGAGGCACAACACUGAUGAUGACUAUGAUGAAGAGCUGUUGGGAAUAGAUCUUGGACCUCUCACUUUCAGUUUUUCUGAACUGAAGGCAGCUACAAAUGACUUUAGUCCAGAUAAUAAGCUUGGAGAGGGAGGAUUUGGGCCUGUCUUCAAAGUAAGUUACUAUGCGUCUUCAAAGGAGCUCUAAAUGAUGGAAGAGUAAUUGCCGUAAAACAAUUGUCUGCAUCAUCGCACCAAGGAAAGAACCAGUUUGUGACUGAGAUUGCCACUAUAUCUUCUGUGCGACACAAUAACCUAGUAAAUUUGUAUGGAUUCUGCACCGAGGGAGCCAAACGGCUCCUUGUCUAUGAGUAUCUGGAGAAUAAGAGUCUUGAUCAAGCAUUAUUUGG